AGAGGUAGAGGUCGCGUAAUUCAUCAGUAAUUCACAGGAUGUGGCAGACACAGUAGAAUGUGAAGGAAAGGGAGGCACGCCGAAAGAAUACAUUGUUCUGCAGAUGUUUUCUUGGGCGCAAGUUUAAGAGACUUGUGACUGUCAUCCCCGUAGGGGAUGGGGAGCUAUCA
rnacentral:ncRNA from 1 species